rnacentral:rRNA from 1 species
UACAGAGGUGGCAAGCGUUGUUCGGAAUUACUGGGCGUAAAGGGCGCGUAGGCGGCCUUCUAAGUCAGACGUGAAAUCCCCAGGCUUAACUUGGGAACUGCGUCUGAUACUGGGAGGCUUGAGUGCAGGAGAGGAACGCGGAAUUCCAGGUGUAGCGGUGAAAUGCGUAGAUAUCUGGAGGAACACCGGUGGCGAAGGCGGCGUUCUGGACUGUUACUGACACUGAUGAACGAAAGCCAGGGGAGCAAACGGG